rnacentral:rRNA from 1 species
GACAGAGGGUGCAAACGUUGCUCGGAAUCACUGGGCGUAAAGGGCGCGUAGGCGGGGAUGUAAGUCGGGCGUGAAAUCCCCAGGCUCAACCUGGGAACUGCGCUCGAAACUGCGUUUCUUGAGUAUCGGAGAGGAAAGCGGAAUUCCUGGUGUAGAGGUGAAAUUCGUAGAUAUCAGGAGGAACACCAGUGGCGAAGGCGGCUUUCUGGACGGUAACUGACGCUGAGGCGCGAAAGCGUGGGGAGCAAACAGG